rnacentral:lncRNA from 1 species
UUGAACGUCAAGAGGAUUAGCACUGCUAUUCCGAUUCAGAGAUAAGGUUAAACGACAGGCUUUGCCUAUACAGGUGGGCUUACUUUCCAAAUGUAUAAAGUAUGAUUGAGUUAUUAAGCUUUAAAUGUUUCAAUGAAAUGCAAAUUAUUUAUUCAAUGAAAUGCAAACUGUUUAUCCAAUAAAAUGUUUAUGUGCACUCUGCUCUGUUUAAGGCUCGCCACAACGAAUCAAUUGAGGUUCUCUUAUAGCCUAACACGUUAUUUGAGAAUUGUGUACACCGUUAGCUGACUCGGUGGGUUGAUCUCCAUUCGGGCACUAACUAAGAGGCGUUAUAAGGGUGCUUGCUGGAUGUGUUCCGAAGCAUGUAAUGUAAAGGCCUGCCUGGGUAGCGUCCCGAGGUCAAUUCAACUUGUCUGAGUUACGUCCUCAGGGCAAGUGCAAUGGGAGAAAUGGAUCCGUCGGUGGCUAGAGGUCCGGGAUCACAGCGAGUAACAGAAAGAGAGUGUGACAUGUGCGCACAAAUGAAAGAAAUGUUUUAACAUGCUUAGAAGUUCUUUCAAUUUAAAACCUUCUAAGUCAUGUCAAGUAUAAUUGGAUAAACUGUCUUCACGAAAAUAUGAAAUGUUUCAGAAAAUGCAUGCCCACUAAGUACAUUAGUACUUAGCCCAAAAUUACUUUCAAAUAUUUUCAGGUUGGCUGGCUGGUGCUGACGGGACUGAGCUGAGGCUAAGGUUCAAUUGCUAUAUAGACUUCCGCUGUUGUAAUAACUCUUAUACAUCUUUUGUUUUCUCACCUUAAGAUGACUUCAUGUCGAGCUUCAAUUUAAAAUUUCUAGUUUCAAGUCAAUGAACGUCGGUUGUCAGAAAUAUGAAACAAAACUUGUGAUCCAAAGGGGCCUAGCCCGACUCUUUAUCCUAUUAUUCGGGUUUUAACAGGGUUGUUCCUUGUUUAUUUCUAUGAUUUAAUCACACCUCGAUUAUAUUUAAUAAUUCAAGAAUUGGGGUGUGACAG